AUUGAACGCUGGCGGCAGGCCUAACACAUGCAAGUCGAGCGAGCGGCGGACGGGUGAGUAAUGUCUGGGGAUCUGCCCGAUCGAGGGGGAUAACUACUGGAAACGGUGGCUAAUACCGCCUACUAUCGGAUGACCCCAUAUGGGAUUAGCUAGUAGGUGGGGUAAAGGCUCACCUAGGCGACGAUCCCUAGCUGGUCUGAGAGGAUGAUCAGCCAAACUGGAACUGAGACACGGCCCAGAAUCCUACGGGAGGCAGCAGUGGGGAAUAUUGCACAAUGGGCGCAAGCCUGAUGCAGCCAUGCCGCGUGUAUGAAGAAGGCCUUAGGGUUGUAAAGUACUUUCAGCGAGGAGGCGUUACCCGCAGAAGAAGCACCGGCUAACUCCGUGCCAGCAGCCGCGGUAAUAC
rnacentral:rRNA from 1 species